GGCCAAACUCAAGUUGGUUCAGGGAAUUGUCAACAAAGGGACCAGAGACGCACAACUCGGCACCGCACAGUGGACCCGCAUCCCGAGAGCCUAGAGGACGCUCGGAUCCGCCCGGAGACCUCCGCCCAGGCUGGAUCCCAGAGCGGGGUUCCAGGGAAAGUGCGGGUGUGAGUGUAGCUGUAAGAGUAAGGGUGGCGCACCCGGCUCCCCGCUAAUCGGACUUCAGACCACCCCCUCUGGCCUCUGUACUCCUUCUGGGAAAGGCACCAGAGGUGAGCGCCUCCCCCAGCCAAACCAGACGACUCAGGUCCUGCCUUUGCCGGCUCGACGAGAACAUAUUUUUCUGUAUGUAUUUUUUCGCGCGGCCACAACAGCAUCAGCUGGGGGUUCCGGAAGAUCAGAAAAUGGCUAUUGAUUAAUCUAUUAGAAUAGUUGCCGAGAGAAAUAAAAACGACGCGAAAUAACAAGAGAACCUAUAAAUACAGAAGCCUUAACUGGCUGCUUGGAGUUGUUAAACGACUUAGCAUAAGAAAAAGUCGGAAAUGCGCUGGGGCUGGAGCCGGGAUUGGCCCCGGCCUGGACGUAGACAGACCCUCCAAGAUGACUUCCCCGGGAGCCAGCGUCUGAGCCGGUGCUAGAGGAGGUGAAAAUGUGACCAGUGCACACGAGUUUCCUUGUCAAGUAGAGUCAAAGUUGGUCCCUGGUUUCCAGUCAGGACCGCUUGCCAGGUGUGGCCAGCUCAUGGAACCCAAGCCCAAUCUGCCGGCUGAGGCCUAGGAGGGGAGAAGGUCCGAGAAGAAAUAAUCACUGAAAUAUUUACAGAAGACACGGGGAAUAGAAUUUAUCCCGGGUACACAGUGCUGCUUCUGAUUUCCCCUUUCGCAAUUCGGUUUCCCUGGCCUAGAUGCACCAAAAAGAGAAUAAAGACCCAAAAUCUGUAAACUUGCUUCAUUACAGGCAUAGUGACGCAUAGGUUGACUUUCAUCUCCCUUAGAAAAAUUCCGCGUGUGUAACACUAGCCAUUGGCUCCAUACGCAGGGUAGUCCUGGUUGGGGCUGGGGGAGGGGGGAAGGAAAGGGCUAGUUUCUGCAUCCUGCCUGGGAACCCCUGCAGUUUUUCUGUAUCUAAAUGAUCCCGGGAGAGGCACCAGAUCCUAAAAUGUGCCUCUUGAGUUGAUUUCCACAGCUGCACUGCUUUGUGGCCAGCAGGCUCCGAACCUAUUACAAAGAGGUCUAGACAGCCUCCAGUGAAACCGAGCUGAGCUGCUAACUGGCUGCCCACAGCCCCGAGCUGCAGAGCAACUGAAAGGAAGAUCUGAAGGACAGGAAGAAAGAAGCCCACAUUUACAAAUUCAGAAACAUGUCUCCAGCUUGGGUUGCCCGGCCAGGCGCAGGACGUAGCAUGGGCCCUAGGGUGGCCUCGAAGUGCGUGUGUACGUGUGCGAGAGUAUGGCGGCUCCGGGGCUGCCCUCGCUGACCGUCUGGAGGUAGCCUCCAAAUGAGCCUAAUUUUGAUUCCAUCUCCUGCCCGGACUGGCUCUCGGAACUGCCUCCACUCCGCUGGUCAUUGCCUCUUACCCUCCCUCCGCCAAGGCCAGGCCAGAUCAGUCGGUUCCCAGGUGCCUCUUUGGAAC